ACUCUGAUCUAUAAGUAGGAGACGUAGCGCAUGGUAUCUUACCUGUCCUGCUCCUGCUUUGCAGAAUUUCCUUUAAUAGGUUGUUGUUCAGCCUCUCUGGGCCUUGGUUUCUUAAACUUUACAUUAAGGGUCAUAAUUCUGUUUUUCCCUAUUUCAGGAGUAUGAUCAAAGGGAAAAUAAAA